GAUGAACGCUGGCGGCGUGCCUAAUACAUGCAAGUCGAGCGAACAGACGAGGAGCUUGCUCCUCUGACGUUAGCGGCGGACGGGUGAGUAACACGUGGAUAACCUACCUAUAAGACUGGGAUAACUUCGGGAAACCGGAGCUAAUACCGGAUAAUAUAUUGAACCGCAUGGUUCAAUAGUGAAAGACGGUUUUGCUGUCACUUAUAGAUGGAUCCGCGCCGCAUUAGCUAGUUGGUAAGGUAACGGCUUACCAAGGCGACGAUGCGUAGCCGACCUGAGAGGGUGAUCGGCCACACUGGAACUGAGACACGGUCCAGACUCCUACGGGAGGCAGCAGUAGGGAAUCUUCCGCAAUGGGCGAAAGCUUGACGGAGCAACGCCGCGUGAGUGAUGAAGGUCUUCGGAUCGCAAAACUCUGUUAUUAGGGAAGAACAAAUGUGUAAGUAACUAUGCACGUCUUGACGGUACCUAAUCAGAAAGCCACGGCUAACUACGUG
rnacentral:rRNA from 1 species